rnacentral:rRNA from 1 species
UACGAAGGGUGCAAGCGUAACUCGGAAUUACUGGGCGUAAAGAGCGUGUAGGCGGCCCGGUAAGUCCGCUGUGAAAGUCGGGGGCUCAACCCUCGAAUGCCGGUGGAUACUGGCGGGCUAGAGUGCGGAAGAGGCGAGUGGAAUUCCUGGUGUAGCGGUGAAAUGCGCAGAUAUCAGGAGGAACACCGAUUGUGUCGGCAGCUUCGUUGUGCGUAACUGACGCUGAGACGCGAAAGCGUGGUUAGCAAACAGG